rnacentral:rRNA from 1 species
UACGUAGGUGGCGAGCGUUGUCCGGAAUUACUGGGUGUAAAGGGCGCGCAGGCGGGCCAUUAAGUCAGAUGUGAAAUCCCCAGGCUUAACUUGGGGGGUGCAACUGAAACUAAAGGUCUUGAGUGCCGGAGAGGAAAGCGGAAUUCCCAGUGUAGCGGUGAAAUGCGUAGAUAUUGGGAGGAACACCAGUGGCGAAGGCGGCUUUCUGGACGGUAACUGACGCUGAGGCGCGAAAGCGUGGGGAG